AAACAAAUACAUUAAGAAGCUAAGAAAUAUGUAUAUGUAUAUGUCAUUUUAAUUCAAACACAAGUAUUUGGAGUGUUUCAACCCAUCCUAUAAUGUUCAAAGCAAACUUAGUUCUUUACCCAUGUUAUCAUAUAAUAGGUUUCACGUAUCUGAUAAAAGUAGUUCUACGUUACUUGUACUUUUUCUUUUGUUUUGAUAUCUUUCACCCAUCUUUGUCUAUAUAAACUGUCAUUUUCUUUAUUUCUUUUGUCAUGUUCAUUUUUUUAAAACAACAUAUUAUGAUAUCAUUACAUUAUAUUUUAUAACUUUAGUUUUAAAAGAAUUUAAACAUAAAUACAUUAUAAUUUAAGUCAAUAAAGUUAAUCAUAAAAAUACACAUAUUCUCUUGUUGUUGUGUUUAAAACAUAUAUUUAAUUUUUAAAAAUGGUAUAAAAUAAGUAAUUCACUCUACCAAAGUUUAUUUGGUGUAAUAAACCUUGUCACCUUUAGAAGGCUACUAUAAUAAACAAAUACAUUAAUUAGCUAAAUGAUAUGUAUAUGAGUAUGUCGUUUUAAUUCAAAGACAUGCAUUCGGAGUGUUUCGACCCAUCCUAUAAUGUUCAAAGCAAACUUACUUCUUUACCUAUGUAUCCAUCUAAUAGGUUUCACGUUUCUAGUAAAAGUAGUUCUACGUUAUUUUUACAUUUUCUUUUGUUUUCAUAACUUUAACCCAUCUUUGUCUAAAUAAACUGUCAUUUCCUUUAUUUCUUUUUCUCACGUUCAUUUUUUUAAAACAACAUAUUAUGAUAACAAUACAUUAUAUUUUGUAAUUUUAAUUUUAAAAAAAUUCAAAUCUCAAUAAUUUACAGUUUAAGUCAAUAAACUUAAUCAUAAAAAAUAUGCAUAGUCUCUUGUGUUAGUGUUUAAAACAUAUAUUUAAUUUUUAAAAAUGGUAUAAAAUAAGAAAAUCAUUCUACAAAUGUGGAUUUGGUGUAAUAAACCUAGUCACCUUGAGAAUGCUACUAUGUUAAGCAAAUACAUUAAGCAGCUAAGUAAUACGUAUAUGAAUAUGUCAUUUUAAGUCAAAGACAUGCAUUUGGAUUGUUUCAACUCAUCCUAUAAUGUUCCUAGCAAACUUAGGUCUUUACCCAUGUGUCCAUCUAAUAGGUCUCACGUUUCUAAUAAAAGUAGUUCUACGCUAUUUUCACAUUUUGUUUUGUUUUCAUAACAUUAACCCAUCUUUGUGUAUAUAAACUGUCAUUUUCUUUAUUUCUCUUUUCUUGUUGAUUCUUUUUUAAAACAACAUAUUUUGAUAUCAAUACAUUAUAUUUUAUAAUUUUAGAUUUUAAAAAAUUAAACAUCAUUACGUUAGAAUUUAAGUCAAUAAAAUUAAUCAUAAAAAUACACAUACUCUCUUGUUUUUGUGUUUAAAACAUAUAUUAAAUUUUUAAAAAUGGUAUAAAAUAAGUAAAUCACUCUACGAACAUUGACUCAGUGUAAUAAACCUAGUCACCUUGAGAAGGCUACUAUGCUAAACAAAUACAUUAAGAAGCUAAGAAAUAUGUAUAUGUAUAUGUCAUUUUAAUUCAAACACAAGUAUUUGGAGUGUUUCAACCCAUCCUAUAAUGUUCAAAGCAAACUUAGUUCUUUACCCAUGUUAUCAUAUAAUAGGUUUCACGUAUCUGAUAAAAGUAGUUCUACGUUACUUGUACUUUUUCUUUUGUUUUGAUAUCUUUCACCCAUCUUUGUCUAUAUAAACUGUCAUUUUCUUUAUUUCUUUUGUCAUGUUCAUUUUUUUAAAACAAC
rnacentral:lncRNA from 1 species